rnacentral:lncRNA from 10 species
GGGGAAGCAAAGACUUUCUGGUUGUGGCUGGAGAAAAAGCUACAAUAUACUGACUGGUCUCAUUCAGGAUGUUCUUGACAUUCAGGAUAGGUGGGGUGACCCUGCAAUCAUAUGGACACUAUCCAUUCCAGUGACGCUCAAACUUCAGCACACAUCAGAGUCCCUGCAAGGCUUGCUAAGACACAGAGUGCUGAGCCCACCUCUAAGACAUUUUUCUUUUUAAGGAAUAAAGAGCAUUCCAUUGUGUAAAUAUACCACUUUUUAAAAUUCAUGUACCUGUUGAUGUACACUUAGGUUGAUUUCAUACCUUAGUUAUUGUGAGUAAUCC